GAAAGAUGGUUUCGGCUAUCGCUUACAGAUGGGCCCGCGGUGCAUUAGCUAGUUGGUAGGGUAAUGGCCUACCAAGGCAACGAUGCAUAGCCGACCUGAGAGGGUGAUCGGCCACACUGGGACUGAGACACGGCCCAGACUCCUACGGGAGGCAGCAGUAGGGAAUCUUCCGCAAUGGACGAAAGUCUGACGGAGCAACGCCGCGUGUAUGAAGAAGGUUUUCGGAUCGUAAAGUACUGUUGUUAGAGAAGAACAAGGAUAAGAGUAACUGCUUGUCCCUUGACGGUAUCUAACCAGAAAGCCACGGCUAACUACGUGCCAGCAGCCGCGGUAAUACGUAGGUGGCAAGCGUUGUCCGGAUUUAUUGGGCGUAAAGCGCGCGCAGGCGGUCUUUUAAGUCUGAUGUGAAAG
rnacentral:rRNA from 1 species